AUUGAACGCUGGCGGCAGGCCUAACACAUGCAAGUUGAGCGGUUGAGGUAGCUUGCUACCGAUGCAGCGGCGGACGGGUGAGUAAUACAUGGGAAUCUGCCUGGUAGUGGGGGACAACGUUUCGAAAGGAACGCUAAUACCGCAUACGCUCUACGGGGGACAGGGGGGGAUCUUCGGACCCCUCGCUAGCAGUUGAGCCAUGUCGGAUUAGCUUGUUGGUGAGGUAAAGCCGCACCAAGGCGACUAUCCGAAACUGGUCAGAGAGGAUGAGCAGUCACACUGGAACUGGGACACGGUCCAGACCCCUACGGGAGGCAGCAGUGGGGAAUAUUGGACAAUGGGCGCAAGCCUGAUCCAGCCAUGCCGCGUGUGUGAAGAAGGCCUUAGGGUUGUAAAGCACUUUCAGUGGGGAGAAAGGUUAUUCACCUAAUACGUGAGUAAAUUGAUGUUACCCACAGAAGAAGCACCGGCUAACUCCGUGCCAGCAGCCGCAGUAA
rnacentral:rRNA from 1 species